UGGGGAAUCUUGCGCAAUGGGCGAAAGCCUGACGCAGCAACGCCGCGUGGGGGAUGAAGGCUCUCGGGUCGUAAACCCCUUUCAGCAGGGACGAAACUGACGGUACCUGCAGAAGAAGCCCCGGCCAACUACGUGCCAGCAGCCGCGGUAACACGUAGGGGGCAAGCGUUGUCCGGAUUUAUUGGGCGUAAAGAGCUCGUAGGUGGUUCGGUAAGUCAGGUGUGAAACCUCCAGGCUCAACCUGGAGACGCCACUUGAUACUGCUGUGACUGGAGUCCGGUAGGGGAGCGUGGAAUUCCUGGUGUAGCGGUGAAAUGCGCAGAUAUCAGGAGGAACACCAGCGGCGAAGGCGGCGCUCUGGGCCGGUACUGACACUGAGGAGCGAAAGCGUGGGUAGCAAACAGGAUUAGAUACCCCCGUAGUCC
rnacentral:rRNA from 1 species